rnacentral:lncRNA from 1 species
UAGCUAAAUAUUGUACAAUUUCCAUGUAAUUAUUGGCCACUUGCACUUCUGUUGAGAAGUGUCUGUUCAGUUAAUUUACCUAUUUUAAUUGGAUUAUUAUUAUUAUUAUUAUUAUUAUGUUUGGUGUUAAUUUCUUGAGUUCUUUAUAUAUCCUUGAGAUUGUUUUCACAAGAGUAGCCAGUAAAGAUUUUCUCCUAUUAUGUAGGAUGUCUGUUCACUCUGUUGUUUCCUUUGAUGUGCAGAAGCUUUUUAAUUUAAUCUAUUCUCAUUUGUUGGUUCUUGCUCUUAUUUUUUGUGCUAUUAAAGUUCUUUCUGGAAGUCAUUACCUCAGCUUAUAACCUGAAGUGUUUUCUCUACUAGAUUCAAAGUUUCAAGUCUUAUACUUAGUAGGUCUUUAAUGUUUUUGAGGUGAUUUUCAUAUCUGGUGAGAGAUAGAGAUUUAGUUUCAAUCUUCUACAUAUGAAUAUCAAGUUUUCCCAGAAUUGUUUGUUUAAAAGGCUGUCUUUUCUCCAAAAUCUAUUUUUGGAAUCUUUGUCAAGAACCAGAGGGCUUUAGCUGCAUGUAUUUAUUUCUCUGUCCUCUAUUCCAAUCCACUGAUGUACAUGUCUGUUUUAACGUAUCGAGCUGUUUUGUUAUGUAUUAUAACUUGAAAUUGAGUAGUGGGAUACUGAGAAAGGUAAGAAGCACCCGACUUUCCAAUUUUUCCCAGUGGCAGCUGGAGGAAGUGUGUGGUUGGCUCCCUUUCCUUUCACUUCCCUUUGUUCUCCCUCUCCCUCAAAUGGACUGGGACUGUCUGUUUCAGAGUCCUCUCUGGCUAUCUAGCGGUGUUCUGCUGGCUAACAAGGUGUCACUCUCCACUCCACCAUGGACAGGAACAGAGUCUGUCUAGCAUUUGUGGAAAUAAUCACAACUGAUUUUCGGUUAUAUUUGGAAUAUAAACACCCAGAUAAAUUACGGUACAUGGGACCAAGAAUACCUAAUGUGGUCAACAUGUACUUUGAGAGUGACAGUGUAUUAGAGAUGGGAUUUUGCAGCAUACAAUAUUUAGCACCAUGGACUGUCUGGGUCACAAACCCAGAAAAUCAUGCUGCCAUCACUGGGAAAGAUUUCAUAUUUGACUCAUUCCAUGGGGAUUUCAUUUUUUCAUACCAUCAAGAAAAGAUUUCUGGUUUCAAAAGUUUUACCCAGACAGCUCAUCCUUCCAAAUACCGAGAUGACAGUUUUCUCACUCCCCUUUGGAUGUAGAAGUUUGGAUGCUCACUCUCUGAGUCUGACUGCAGUGACGAACUGUUCACCUAAUGCCUCUCUGGCCUGGCUGCCUGUGAAUGAAUUUGAAAUGACCAUUACUGAAGAGGAUGACAAUAUAUACAAUGCUGUGUAUGCCUUUGCCCAUGCUCUCCAUGAUAU